rnacentral:rRNA from 1 species
AGAGUUUGAUCCUGGCUCAGGAUGAACGCUAGCGGCAGGCUUAACACAUGCAAGUCGAGGGGCAGCGGGGAGUAGCAAUACUCCGCCGGCGACCGGCGCACGGGUGCGUAACGCGUAUGCAACCUACCUUUAACAGGGGCAUAACACUGAGAAAUUGGUACUAAUUCCCCAUAACAUUCGAGAAGGCAUCUUCUUGGGUUAAAAACUCCGGUGGUUAAAGAUGGGCAUGCGUUGUAUUAGCUAGUUGGUGAGGUAACGGCUCACCAAGGCAACGAUACAUAGGGGGACUGAGAGGUUAACCCCCCACAUUGGUACUGAGACACGGACCAAACUCCUACGGGAGGCAGCAGUGAGGAAUAUUGGUCAAUGGACGCAAGUCUGAACCAGCCAUGCCGCGUGCAGGAAGACAGCUCUAUGAGUUGUAAACUGCUUUUGUACUAGGGUAAACGCUCCUACGUGUAGGAGUCUGAAAGUAUAGUACGAAUAAGGAUCGGCUAACUCCGUGCCAGCAGCCGCGGUAAUACGGAGGAUCCAAGCGUUAUCCGGAUUUAUUGGGUUUAAAGGGUGCGUAGGCGGUUUGAUAAGUUAGAGGUGAAAUACCGGGGCUCAACUCCGGAACUGCCUCUAAUACUGUUGAACUAGAGAGUAGUUGCGGUAGGCGGAAUGUAUGGUGUAGCGGUGAAAUGCUUAGAGAUCAUACAGAACACCGAUUGCGAAGGCAGCUUACCAAACUAUAUCUGACGUUGAGGCACGAAAGCGUGGGGAGCAAACAGGAUUAGAUACCCUGGUAGUCCACGCAGUAAACGAUGAUAACUCGUUGUCGGCGAUACACAGUCGGUGACUAAGCGAAAGCGAUAAGUUAUCCACCUGGGGAGUACGUUCGCAAGAAUGAAACUCAAAGGAAUUGACGGGGGCCCGCACAAGCGGAGGAACAUGUG